rnacentral:rRNA from 1 species
GAUCCUGGCUCAGGAUGAACGCUAGCUACAGGCUUAACACAUGCAAGUCGAGGGGAAACGACAUCGAAAGCUUGCUUUUGAUGGGCGUCGACCGGCGCACGGGUGAGUAACGCGUAUCCAACCUGCCCACCACUUGGGGAUAACCUUGCGAAAGUAAGACUAAUACCCAAUGAUAUCCCACGAAGGCAUCCGAAUGGGAUUAAAGAUUUAUCGGUGAUGGAUGGGGAUGCGUCUGAUUAGCUUGUUGGCGGGGUAACGGCCCACCAAGGCGACGAUCGGUAGGGGUUCUGAGAGGAAGGUCCCCCACAUUGGAACUGAGACACGGUCCAAACUCCUACGGGAGGCAGCAGUGAGGAAUAUUGGUCAAUGGGCGUAAGCCUGAACCAGCCAAGUAGCGUGAGGGAAGACUGCCCUACGGGUUGUAAACCUCUUUUGUUUGGGAAUAAAGUGCGGGACGUGUCCCGCAUUGCAUGUACCAUUUGAAUAAGGACCGGCUAAUUCCGUG